rnacentral:rRNA from 1 species
AACGAACGCUGGCGGCAGGCUUAACACAUGCAAGUCGAACGCCCCGCAAGGGGAGUGGCAGACGGGUGAGUAACGCGUGGGAACAUACCCUUUCCUGCGGAAUAGCUCUGGGAAACUGGAAUUAAUACCGCAUACGCCCUACGGGGGAAAGAUUUAUCGGGGAAGGAUUGGCCCGCGUUGGAUUAGCUAGUUGGUGGGGUAAGGGCCUACCAAGGCGACGAUCCAUAGCUGGUCUGAGAGGAUGAUCAGCCACAUUGGGACUGAGACACGGCCCAAACUCCUACGGGAGGCAGCAGUGGGGAAUAUUGGACAAUGGGCGCAAGCCUGAUCCAGCCAUGCCGCGUGAGUGAUGAAGGCCUUAGGGUUGUAAAGCCCUUUCACCGAUGAAGAUAAUGACGGUAGUCGGAGAAGAAGCCCCGGCUAACUUCGUACCAGCCGCCGCCGUAAUAC